GUCUAGUUCAACCAUUCAAUCCAACGCGGUAUCGCGAAGGGCCUACUAUGUGCCAGGAGCUGGGCAGGCGACCGAGGAAACUCACAAAUAGCAAGACGGGAUUUCUUACCCUUCCGAGCUCAUGGUGUAAGAGCAGAGCAACCUGUCGUCAGGGCCCGUGUGUGUAUUCCUGAGUAUCCCCUGUCUACUGAACUUGACUCUCAACCCUGGGUCGCUGCUCAGUGUCUGCAGCAGCUGAACUCUAGGGCAGCCCCACGAUCCUUCCUCCUGGCAUUCACACCCUUGUGUGAUCCCCUCCCCUGGAGUGCAGACAGGGCUACGAUUUGCUUCUAACCAACCGACCGUGGCAAACGGGAUGGGGUGUACAUAGUCACGCGUAUGUGACUCUGUCAUACACCUCCUUCUUGUGAAGAGGCUCCGUCUCCCUUGCUGGCUUUGACGAGGCAGAGAGCCAUGCUGGGGAAGGAACGGAGGGAGGCUCACCCCCGACACCCAGCAGGGAGAUGAGGCGCUUGGUCUGAUCACAGCGAGGAACUGAAUUCUGCCAGCAAUUGUGGGAGCUUAGAAGUAGACUCUUCCCCGGUCAAGCCUCAGCUGAGACUACAGCUCCAGCCAAUACUCUGUCACCUUGUGAGACCCCGGGCUGGUAUUUAAGCCGAGCCCAUAUUCCCGAGCCACAGAAACUAAAAAAACCCACUUCGGAAUGGAGCCAAUGGGAGGAAAGCAGAGGUAGAUGUGGACGGAGACAAAGCCUUCGUGAUACUGCUCACUUGAGCACCUGGAUCCAGCCAUGCCUGAAACUGGUCAUCUACCCCUGGACGUUCCACUCAUGCACCCCCCGAAAAGGAGCACGUAACCCCCGACGGCGCUAUCGGCCAUGUCUACUCGAGUAUAAGUUGGUUAUCAGAGCCUCAGACUGGGGCUGAACGCAGGGCCCUGCCCAGAAUGACACACGACAGGACGGCCAGCCAGAAGGCCCAGAAGCCACCGGGCAAGAAGCACCUCCAGGAGAUGCGGGCACCCAGCCUUUCCGGCUUUGCAGAGGCGUGGCCAAUGUGUCUCAAUAACCACCUCCACCUCCGUUUUUAUUCUGCUGAGUUAUGCAGAGUCAGUUUCUGUGGCUUGAAACUGAAGAAUCCCAGCCUCGUACGGUCUUUCUAGAAGGAGGAGCCGGCCAAGAACCAUUGCUGUCCCGCUAGGGAAAGUCUCUUUAGUUGGAGACUUGAGAAAAGAGAAGUCGUGAUGUAAUGUGUGCCUUCGUGCUGGUCGCAGUCAGAAAACCUUGAAAAGCCGCUGCCUCAGACGACGUGCCCUUUGUUCGCCAGCAGGGGCAAGACAGCUGGCAGGGAAGGAGCUUCCUGUCUGCCUGGGCUCCCUGCUCACACACCCGGACCAAAGGCUCGGGCCACACCCAGCUGGGGGCCCCCACCCCAGCAACCGCACAGUGCCCGUCACACCUCUCCGUCCUCCAGGUUCCCUCUUCUUUCAGCCUCACGCCCAACCCUGCCUUCACUCCGGGAGGCCCUGUCGAAAUGACACUUCCUCUGGCCAUCAACCCACAGGGGGCCAGGCAGGCUGUCCCCUUCCGCUGUCGGCCGUCCCACAGUCUGCUGGAGCGCAGCGCUCUCACCCUGUCAGUCAACUGCUCCACCAUCAGCGGCUUGGCACACUCUGAUUCACUGGGCGGAUGGAACUGUUCGCUUAAAAUGAAUGAACGAAUGAUUGAUUGAAGGUUGACUUGCUCUGGGGCGGGGGUCCUGGUGCGGAGGCUCGCUGCUUUAAUCGUCAUCCAAGGAUUGCUGUGUACCUACUAGGCACCACGCACGCAAGCGACCGGGGACACUAGACCGACCAGAAUAGGAUGGCUUCCCUCGAGGAGCUCACGGUCCGGUGAAAGAGACAGGCAUGUGAAUUACCACCUAGAUAAGAGCCCCAGAUGAAGACAUUGGAGAGAGGACCCCACCUUGCUGGGAACACUGUAUCACAACUCCCCCACUAGCCAGUGAACUCCAGGAGAGAUGGCUGGACCCUGCCUGCAUUGCACAUCACCACUGUGGAGCUCUCUUUCUGGUGUCGCAUACUAACGCAUUCAAUAUUUACUUAAUGAAUAUUCAGGAAGCUGCAAAUGGUGCAUGUUGACCUGAGAGGAAAGUGGGAGGAAAGUGCUAGGAAGAGGCGCUGAGCAGUCUGUGGGGCCCCGGACCACGGAAGGCACGUCAGCCCUGCUAAGGUCUGGGUCUUUCUCCUGCAGGCACUGGGGAAGCCAUGGAGGAGUUUCAGCCGUCUAGAAAAUUCCUUUGGCUCUGGUGUGCCGGGUGGGUGCCUGUGGCCCAGGAGGGCAGCUGAGAAAGCAAAUGCAGAAGUAACCCAGGCGAGGAGACUUGAGUCUAGGGGCAGCCGGCUGGGGCGCGCUGGCGUGGAGGCAUUUGCGUGCUGCAGAUGCGUGCUACGACGCGAGGACGCUGGCCAGUCAGGCUCUGAGAUCCCACCUCCUCAGGCCACACCGUCCCCUGCUGGGGCAGGGUCCAGUCCCCAGGAGGUUCCUGCCAAACGUCAGCCACUGCUAGCAAACUCAAGAGCUUUGCCUUGGCACUCUUUGUACCCUUAUCUUAUUCUUCUCGUUAAAAAUCAGCACCUGUGUUGGGUGCCUGGGUGGCUCGGUUGGUUAGGCGACCGACAUCGGCUCAGAUCAUGACCUCCUGGUUUGUGAGU